CCUCACAGCCUUAUUAGCAUAAUCGGAACCUUUCUGGUUUUUAUAUUCACGAAAGAAUGAAAAAACCCGAGAAAGUCAAAACUUCGUAUAUCUCGGGAUUUUAACGAGACCAGUCUCAUACUCGUGAAAAUCGAGAGAGGAGUUUAAAUGGAAAAACAUGAAACAGUCUGAACAGCAAUCCUCGAUUUUGUCAACAAUCUAAAACGUGCUAAGGAGUAGUCAUUCGUCGAUUUACCUGCGGCUUCCAGAUGAUCUGAAGAUCGGGAAUAUAGAAAAUAUUGUCAAUUUGAUAUUGCUAAUGACCCAGUCAUGUCUGCUGAAGCCCAGAAGUUUCCAGACCAUGACAUUAAUGAAUAUUUCUUGAAUGGAAUGCAUGAGGAUUAGAAUGGAACCUUAUUCUGCCUUUUUACCAACUCACACCAUCUUUUCAAGAUUUAUGGAGCCAACCACAGAAGAAUUUGUUCUAUACGCAUCAUUCAUAACAUUCUUAUUUAUGUUGCAUAACUUUAAAUGUUACUGGAUUAAUUGUGUUCACAUAAUGAAUACCAGGAAACUUUUUAUCGAGUGCACUUAAUUUGUAUUUUUCCUACCCAUCCAUCUAACAUAUGUUUUUAUAUAACAUAUUCAUAUACAUGUAACAUUUUUGGAAACAGCUAUUUUUUUUAAAUUGGAAUUUAGCCUUACUAUUUUAUACAAGUUUUUUUUAUAGGGACUUGAACACGAUUUUAGAUCAAAAUUUUGAUUUCAAUUUCUUUCUUGCAUAAAAUGAUAUACUUGCACAUUUUGAAUAAUUGACCAUAAUUUGAAUGUUAGAAGUCAAGUUAUAAAAGAGAUACAGGGGUAAGAAUUUAUUGUUAUGUAAACAAAGCUCGAGUCUUAUGUUUGUUUAAAAAUAAUAUAAAGUAUGAAAAUAACACUUCUUUGAGAAAAUGAUUCAUAGAAAAGAAGGUAAA